ensembl:lincRNA
GGAUAGCCCUGUGAGGCAGGGGCGGCUGGCGUUUCACGCCCUUUGUGUCAAUGGAGGGUCAGCCCUUUGUGGAGGAAGGAGAGGGUUUGUGGCCAAAUUUGAUUCUUUCACUUAAUAGCACAGAGACUUUGGAAAAGUUCUCUGGGUCACAGUCUCCAUCUUCAGAAUGUAAAAUAUAAUAACCUUGAGAUCUAAUUGUGGCAAUUAAGUGAGCUAAUGCUGGCGCAGCCCCUGCCAUGAUUCCCGGUGCAUCAGCAUCCCAGGAAGUUAAAGAAUUUGCUCGUGGACACACAAUAUGAAGAACUUAGUCACGGGUGUUCUGGGGCUUGGGACAGGAUGCUUUCUGCUCUACCAUGUGGUUUUUCCAGGGUGGAAACUGCUGUUGCAUUUUCCCUUUGUUGGCGCAUUGGUCCAGUUAAGAGAUGAGGACUUUUAAUUUCAAUCUUAACUUUUUUAAACAUUUAAAUGCUAGCUUUUUUUCGGUAAGAUAAUGUCUGACAGAAGCAGGAUUUCUGGAUUAAAGGAAAAAUGAAUUUGUGAUUGUAAUAAGGAUUGCCAAAUUGUUACUCUAGGGCUCUACCCCCUCCCAAAACCAGGAAUGGAGGAAAGUGGCCAUCAGCCUUGCCAAAUGGAGUGUGCUGCCACACUUACAGACUUCUGCAAUGAUAUGGGUAAGAAGUUGUAUGUCGGUGCAGCUGUUAUGAAUGAAAUUGAGCAUCUUUUCAAGAGCCAUUUGUAAUUUUUGUGUGUGUAUGUGUGUGUGUGUGUGUGAUCUAUUUGUGUCCUUGCUUGUUUUUCUCCUGGGUUUGUUCUCGUUCUUUUCAAUUUUGAGUAGCUCUUUGUGUAUGUGACCAAUCAUCCAUGUGUCUUUUAUAUGAGUGGCAAACAGUUUUUCAGCUCCAUCAUUCGUUUGUCUUUUGACUUUGCCUCUGUUGGUGGUGGUGGUGUUAGUUGCUGGUGUGUGUUUGUGUGUGUGUGUGUGUGUGUUGUUAGUUUUACCGUGCACAAGUUUGUUUUAUUUACUGAGGAUUUCUUAUCACGCAGGAGUGAGUGGGACCACGGCCCCUCUUUUGGGAAUCUGGCUUGGGCUUUGCUGCCAGGAGGCCAUCAGAGCUGCUGCUGAUGUUCAUUUCCACUGGAAUUUGGCUCAUCUUGAAGGUGGCUAUGCUUGGGAAGGAAAUUGCAAACAGGAUUUUUCUCUCAGAAAACGUGAACAUCAAACAUCCAUCUCCCCUUCACAGCAUCCUAGGAAGGAGACGUUACCUGCUUCUCAGGUGUGCCCGAGAGUGACGGGAGAUGGCACAGGCAAAGGUCUCUGCUACAGCGAAAGGCUCAGGGAGGCCGGUGCAGCUUCAGGGCCAGGAGGACGGCCCCAUGCACAUCCCCGUGAACUUCUGGCUGCUCUGAGGUCUGGGCUCCUGCUUCUCCGGUAUUGCUCCUAAGUGGGCUGUGAUAUUCCCUCUCUAUGGAAACGGUCCCCUCCCCUGUGUGUAUAUAAAAGUGACAGAUCACAGGGUGGAUCGUAAUUCCAGACGUGGUGUCUACGCUGGGAUGAGAUUUCAUUUAAAAUACAACCAGAACCAGCCGUCCACGUCAUGCAGAUGACAGGUGCUCCAACCUCGACCCCUCCCACCUCUGCUUCCCACCCCGCCCUCCUACCUCCCCCCGCCCUCCUACACCCCCACCCGCAACUGCUCUUGCAUCCUAGCAACUUGCUUCAUUGAUAAAAGCAAAGAACAAAAAAGAAAAAAAAAAAAAAAAAGAAAAAAAAAAAAAAAAAAAAAAAAAAAAAAAAGAAGAAAUAAAAACUCAAAACAAAAACCCUGGUAAAGUGAGAAGCAGUGUCUUUGAGGAAUUUUAUUGCUGAUCUUAGUUCUAACUAAUUUCAAUUUCCUCUACAUUCCCCUUGCCCUAACUCUCCUUUUGGAAAUCUAGAAUCUGUACCUGCUUUGAAAGCAGAGAAGCGAUUUGAAAUCCACCUGUUGCUGUGUUGUUUUGUGGGUUCUGACAGUGCAGCAUCAUCUGGCCGCACAUGCAGCCCCUUGUGCUUGCCACACACUCGGUGCCUGCUCCCCACGUAAAGUCGAAUUUUGCGAGUUUCUCCUUUCACAUUCCUUGGACUCUUCUGCCAUACCCUCAGUGAAACAACAUAAAAGUUUAAGAUUUCUCUGCAGCCUGCCACGAAAACAACUGAGCACCAUCUAGUCAUUAAUAAAUUUGAGGGGAAAGCUUUACACCCAUAUUUUUCUCUGGAUGCCUGAAACUCAACUAUUCCUUUGGGCUAUGACAGUAGGUCAUCAUACACCAGAGGUCUGGAGGUUUUAGUGGGAAAUAGCUUGGAUUUUACUCAUUUAUGCAUCCUAUAUUUAUUGAGGACUUACUGUGUAGCGGGUAUUGCCAGGACCCCCACGAGUUCAGAGAAAAGUAAGUUGUGGCCCCUGACCAUACAGGGCACUCAUGGUUUAGAAUGGUAGGGAAGGUCGGGCACGGUGGCUCACAUCUAUAAUGACGUGCCCUGUGGGAGGCUGAGGCGGGCAGAUCACAAGGUAAGGAGUUGGAGAC